UUCCUGCUCUAUUGUUUGCACUACAAUAAUAAGAAAAUUUAUCCACGUAGAGAGGUACCACAUUUUUUCACAGCUUUUGGUGAAGAAAGUCACCAAGACAACAUGUGAACUGCCAACGAGAAAACAUUCUGUUCAGAGCAAAUAAAAGGUAACAAAAAUUGUGGAAGACACAAGCUGAAAUAGCAUUGGUACAGUCAUUUGUUAUGAAGCAUAAGGGGCUUUGAUUUUGACAGAAAAAAAAUAAAUAAUGAGGAUCACAUCUUGUUCACAUUUAUUUUAGGAAAAUUCCACAGACUUUUAGAGGAAUAAAAACCAGUAAUUUUCCAAGGAAAUGUUCCAUGAUUCUAUAACAACUGAAGAUUUCAUAUUUAGUGCCUUCUUUGUGAAGAAAAACUUACUCAACACCUUUCUGGAAGCACAGUCAACUCUUUAUGCUGCUUUGGGCAAACAUCAACAGGAUUCUAUUAGCUUCAGGAAACUUCAGAGACAAUAUAACAAUAUCAGUUAUACUACGGAAGGAGCAAGCCUCAGCAGAGGAUUUAAGAAGCCCCAUUCUUAUUUUACUAGAGGUAAGAAAGUCCUUGCAGGAUUUUCUGGAAUUAGUUGCUUUCUUAUUCAUGCAUGUUAGUAACGAAUAGCAAAAAUGUCUUUGAAUUAUGGAAUUUUGCUGUUGUAUUUUGUUUCUUUCUGGGGUAAUAGAUUAGGAGAUUUGCAAGGGCACUUGCAAAAAAAAUUGUACACUGAAAAUUCCAUUAAAUUUUUAUAAGUGAAUAUGAUCAGCAGUGACAGACCCCUCAUUAUCUCGUAGCAGACACACUGUUCCAGUGGAGAGAAAAAAGAGAGGAAGAACUGGAUCAUCCUCUCUUACCAUGAAAUGGUUAAAUCUCACCUUCUAAGAAGAUUAUCUGGAGGAAUUCUGCCAGGGAUGCCCUAGUGACCACCUGCCAUCAAAUAUAGAAAAACUUGCAGUGAGGGUGAAUAUUCAUGCCACCAGAAACUAAGGAAACGUUGACUACUCCGAGUUGCUAGGAAAAUCAAUGAGAUCUGUAUUGUGUACCUUGUAAUAUGAUUUAGCAAAACUAAUCCUUUUGAGAAAGUCAGCUCCACCCUCAAUUACAAUAGACACCUACAAUUACUGCACUCUUAUGAACACUUUGAUUUUACCAUGACUUAUCUCUCCCCGACUGUUAGAUGAGGGAAAUAACACUUCAUCUGAUGGAGAUUAUAAGGAUAAAGCCAGUGCUUACAAAGCUCUUGGACAAUGUAGUGAGGAGAACUAAAAAACAAAAACAAACAAACAAACAAAAAUCUAUGAGGAAAAUAAGGAUUCUGCACUGAGCACAAGAAUUGACUAGCAUAUAUUAAAAG
rnacentral:lncRNA from 1 species